rnacentral:rRNA from 1 species
UUAAGUCGACCGCCUGGGGAGUACGGCCGCAAGGUUAAAACUCAAAUGAAUUGACGGGGGCCCGCACAAGCGGUGGAGCAUGUGGUUUAAUUCGAUGCAACGCGAAGAACCUUACCUGGUCUUGACAUCCACGGAAGUUUUCAGAGAUGAGAAUGUGCCUUCGGGAACCGUGAGACAGGUGCUGCAUGGCUGUCGUCAGCUCGUGUUGUGAAAUGUUGGGUUAAGUCCCGCAACGAGCGCAACCCUUAUCCUUUGUUGCCAGCGGUCCGGCCGGGAACUCAAAGGAGACUGCCAGUGAUAAACUGGAGGAAGGUGGGGAUGACGUCAAGUCAUCAUGGCCCUUACGACCAGGGCUACACACGUGCUACAAUGGCGCAUACAAAGAGAAGCGACCUCGCGAGAGCAAGCGGACCUCAUAAAGUGC